AUUGAACGCUGGCGGCAUGCUUUACACAUGCAAGUCGAACGGUAACAGGCCUUCGGGUGCUGACGAGUGGCGAACGGGUGAGUAAUGCAUCGGAACAUACCCAGUCGUGGGGGAUAACGUAGCGAAAGUUACGCUAAUACCGCAUACGUCCUGAGGGAGAAAGCGGGGGAUCGCAAGACCUCGCGCGAUUGGAGUGGCCGAUGUCAGAUUAGCUAGUUGGUGGGGUAAAGGCCCACCAAGGCGACGAUCUGUAGCGGGUCUGAGAGGAUGAUCCGCCACACUGGGACUGAGACACGGCCCAGACUCCUACGGGAGGCAGCAGUGGGGAAUUUUGGACAAUGGGCGCAAGCCUGAUCCAGCCAUGCCGCGUGAGUGAAGAAGGCCUCGGUUGUAAG
rnacentral:rRNA from 1 species